GUUUGUCUUCAGGGCAGGGUGAAAUUCCCGACCGGCGGUUAAAAAGUCCGCGACCUACUUGCAAAAGUAGCCGAUCCAGUGUGAUUCUGGAACCGAUAGUAUAGUCUAGAUGGAAGAAGACAGUC
rnacentral:ncRNA from 2 species